GUACGGGAGGCAGCAGUGGGGAAUAUUGCGCAAUGGGCGAAAGCCUGACGCAGCGACGCCGCGUGAGGGAUGAAGGCCUUCGGGUUGUAAACCUCUUUCAGCAGGGAAGAAGCGCAAGUGACGGUACCUGCAGAAGAAGCACCGGCUAACUACGUGCCAGCAGCCGCGGUAAUACGUAGGGUGCAAGCGUUGUCCGGAAUUAUUGGGCGUAAAGAGCUCGUAGGCGGUUUGUCGCGUCUGCUGUGAAAACUCGGGGCUUAACUCCGGGCCUGCAGUGGGUACGGGCAGACUAGAGUGCGGUAGGGGAGACUGGAAUUCCUGGUGUAGCGGUGAAAUGCGCAGAUAUCAGGAGGAACACCGGUGGCGAAGGCGGGUCUCUGGGCCGUAACUGACGCUGAGGAGCGAAAGCGUGGGGAGCGAACAGGAUUAGAUACCCGUGUAGUCU
rnacentral:rRNA from 1 species